rnacentral:rRNA from 1 species
AGCGAACGCUGGCGGCAGGCCUAACACAUGCAAGUCGAGCGGUAAGGCCCCUUCGGGGGUACACGAGCGGCGAACGGGUGAGUAACACGUGAGUAAUCUGCCCUUCAGUUCGGGAUACCCACCGGAAACGGUGGCUAAUACCGGAUACGACCAGCCCUGGCAUCGGGUGCUGGUGGAAAGUUUUUUCGCUGGGGGAUGUGCUCGCGGCCUAUCAGCUUGUUGGUGAGGUAACGGCUCACCAAGGCUUCGACGGGUAGCCGGCCUGAGAGGGUGACCGGCCACACUGGGACUGAGACACGGCCCAGACUCCUACGGGAGGCAGCAGUGGGGAAUAUUGGACAAUGGGCGAAAGCCUGAUCCAGCAACGCCGCGUGAGGGAUGACGGCCUUCGGGUUGUAAACCUCUUUCAGUAUCGACGAAGCGCCCUGUCGGGUGGUGACGGUAGAUACAGAAGAAGGACCGGCCAACUACGUGCCAGCCGCCGCCGUAACAC